rnacentral:lncRNA from 1 species
CCGCCAAUUCCUCUUAAACUGCUCGUAUGCGAUCAUGUGUUAGGAGUUCAUCCCGCAUCUGCCAGAUCUAAUUUAAAGAACGGAGUCAAUACAUGCAUAUAUAUGAAUAAAACUCAACACAAUUGAUGAUAAUAUAUAAAAUAAAAUUGUGAAUAUUAUUUACAUACUUGAUAUUGUUUCUCAGAUAAGCCUGCCCGUUCAGAGGUCGAGAGGCGAAUGAACUCGCAUACGUAGUAUGCACAUAAAUCAGUCUCACCUUUCUGGUAUAAGCAUUUUACGAGAAUAGAGUUCAAUCAAACUGAUAAGCAAGCAUGGUAAUGAUAUAUUGAUGAAAAUUUGAAUCAAUUAGAGAUGCCCGAAACUAGCUAGUACUAUUUACUUUGGGAUGCGUAAAUUGCAACGUAUUUAGACUGGGAGCCUUUGUGGUGAACUUCUUCCAAACCCGGCGAGACAAAGAAAAUGAUUACUUGAUAUCAAAAAAUUAAUGAAAGUUGCAUGACGAUAUGGUCCCGGUAUUGACUGAACUUACUUCUUGGGAUUGCAGUCAUGUCCGCAUAAUACUCAGAAUCUUUACGUCUCGAGUCUAAGACAGUUACUUUUGCCCCGUCAAGCUUAAUGGAUAGUAGAAUAAAGUGGUAACUGCACACGCAUAUAUAACUCAUAAAUUACAUUACUUAACCUCGAGUAAGCAAAACCGAGUAUACAAAGAAGACAACAACACUCACUUGAAGUUGUAAGGAAAGAGAAUUUUCCUUUUGUUUUGAUUUAUAAGGAACGACUUUAGCAAGUUCUCCUCAGUCUCUUUGAUUGAUUUUCGUACCGACCAUUCAUUUACGACAUCUGGGCUAAUGAACCCAACGUCGAAGAUUCCUGUUUUUUUAAUUCGAUAAUUUUCAAUCUGCAUAAUAUAUAUAGUGAGGAUAAUUAUAUGUACAUGCAAUGAACGAGUUGAGCUAGAUACUUAACUAUAGAAGUAAUACUUACAAACAGUAGGAAGUCAUGAAUUGUUUGUCGAGGACCAGUUAAUUGUAUAACUGAAAUAACUCCACAAAUUCAACAUGCAUCACUGGAGCUCCAAAUUUCACAGCCAUAUAGAUACUGUCUUUUCCAGACUUCCUGCAAGUUUUCAUGUAAUACUCAUGAAAUUUGUGCAUCAACGGUGUUAGAGGAGAAUGACCAGGUUUGACGAGAGGCUUCCCGUGCACGUAUUUAUAUUUUUCUUUUGUUACCUCAGCUGUUUCAAAAAUUACAUCAUCCUCCAAGUAAUCAUCAGGAUUGGUACCGGGCACCAUCCCCGGAUGAUUAGCGACGACGAUAUCGCUAGACACCUUGAGUGGGGGGCACGAUUGCUUCUCCUGUUGGCUGAGCUGGGGAACUGUUUUCCCACUUCUUCGUUUUGCUAACCUUGCAUCACUGCUAGCCGCUGGAGCGACGACGUCUCUCUUCCGUUUGAGAGAAGGAGGAGGAGGAGUGCACUGAUCACUCGCCGGAGGAGGAGGAGGAUGCGGAGUGCCCUGACUCGCCGAAGGAGGAGGAGGAGNNNNNNNNNNNNNNNNNNNNNNNNNNNNNNNNNNNNNNNNNNNNNNNNNNNNNNNNNNNNNNNNNNNNNNNNNNNNNNNNNNNNNNNNNNNNNNNNNNNNNNNNNNNNNNNNNNNNNNNNNNNNNNNNNNNNNNNNNNNNNNNNNNNNNNNNNNNNNNNNNNNNNNNNNNNNNNNNNNNNNNNNNNNNGAGGAGGAGGAGGAGGUGGAGUGCCCUGAUCACUCGCCAGAGGAGGAGGAGGCGGAGUGCCUUGAUCACUCGCCGGAGGAGGGGGAGGAGGAGGCAGAGUGCCCUGACUCGCCGAAGGAGGAGGAGGAGGAGGCGGAGGCGUCCAGUUUGGAAGCUUGAUGUACUCCUUCUGUCAUAGACAUGUACUCCUCACAACAUGAACUAGCUUAUUCUCCCCUUCACCUGUAGGGUGGUCAAGUUCGAGCUCCUCAAAUCCCUCCAUUACUUCAUCCACCAUCACAACAACAAAGCCAUGUGGAAUCGGAAGGCAGUGAAAGUUCCAUUGGGUUGAGGAGGUGCAACAGAGCCGAUAGCAGCCUUGAAAGUGAGGUUCCAACAUUUCAUCAUAAGCUCCCAAUGUUGAGCCUCCGUGAUAGUAUCCACGGGGUAGCAAGGAGCCGUGAAGUCAGGCUGAACGAGCUCCGUGGAAGCCACGCUGCUUCUCCGCUGAGCAUCUGGGGUAGCUUCGUGCCGCUGAGAUGGUUGGCCGGCAGCUCGCUGCUGGCUUUCAAGUUCCUCUAACUUUUGUAGUCUUGCAUUGAUCUUUUGCAUGUUGCUCAGCGCCGAUUUCCUCUUUCUCUCUCGGCUUCUGUAACUGUCUGCGUAGGGAAAUCCAACCUUCCACGGAAUGGAGCCUGGUGUCCCUCGUGUUUGUCCAGGGUGAUCAACAUUCCCUAGGGCCUCAGUCAGCUCGUCCUUCUCUCUGUCGGGAAUGAACGUCCCUUCCUGCGUUGCGGUGAUACACUUCUGAAGCUUCUUGAUGGGUAUUGCAAGUUGCUCGUCCGUCCAACGACACUUCCCUGUUUCAUGGUCCAAAGUUCCCCCAACCCCGAAGAACCAAGUCUUUGAACGGUCUGGCCAGUUAAAUGUCUGUGGUUCGACCCCUUUAGCAUUCAGGUCAUUCUCAGCUUUGUCCCAUAACAAACGGGCUUUGAGGUAGCCACCUCACCCCGUGUGAUGGUGAUACUGCUUUUUUGCAGCAUUGUUCUUGUUUGUCUCUGACAUUUUCUUACUAUUGUCCGAUGUCUUGUAGGCCACAAAUGCGGGCCAGUGAUCUCUCAUCUUCUCAAAUCGGCCGAUGAAUUCUGGAGUCUUCCCUUUAUCGACAAACUUUGAUUUCAACUCUUUCUUCCACCUCCUGAAUAGAUCUGCCAUCUUCUUAAGAGCACACACCUUGACUAGUGGCUCUAUAACUGGCUUAUUCAGAUCCUCCUCUGGCAGUAGGGUGAAAUUUGCCUUCAGCGCGGUCCAAAGAUCAUCUUUCUGCCUAUCGAUGACAUAAUCACCUUCAGGGACGUUGUUGCCCUUAGGCUUAUUCCAUUGCUUGAUGCUGAUCGGGACAUUGUCCCUAACAAUAGCUCCGCACUGAGCAGAAAAUGCGUCCUUGGUCCGCUUGGGUAGAAUCGAUAGGCCAUCGUCCGCGAAUGUUGUGAUCAUGAACUUUUCAUCCUUGCUCAACCUUCUCUUUGGGUCUCGUCUCGUAACCGAAGUUUGGCUCGAUCCGAACUUUGCAACAGCUCCCUCCUCCAUUCAUUCACCGGAGCCGUCAUCAUGGUCUCCUUCUUCCUCCAACAUUCGGUCACCGGAGCCAUCAUGAUCAUGUCCUUCCUCCUCCAUUGUUCGAUCACGGGAGCCGUCAUCCUCUCCUUCCAGACCAUCGGUGUCGUUGAGAUACCAAGAGAACUCACCUCCGUCGCGGAUUAUCUCACCCAACAACUCUUCUUGUUCCAAGUUUUUUGGAUCCAUAGUUUCUGCAAAUAUUACAACAUGGCAAUUAAUAUACAAACAUGAAUGUCCGACUUCCAGACCGCCUCUUUCAUGAAUGUCAAUCAACGAAUUCUAUACAAAAAACUUUCUUCUAUGAACAAAAAAUUGUGUCUCAUCACUACUUGGAGGGGUGUGUUUAGUUCAUCCAUGAAGGAAUCUUCGCAAGUCACAGAUUCUAUAAUUUCAUCGCUAACAAGUCAGGGACUCAAAUUUGAACCGUGUCUUGUCACUACUGGGAGGGGUAUCACCAAAAUCGGUUAGCAAUAGAACAUGAUCCAACAAUAUUCGAUUUUUUUCCAAGACCCAUACCAAAGAUGUUGUACUAAAUGUCAUCUUAGCUAUAGGAGUCCUACUUUGGUACCAAAUCAUGGAGUAGACAAGAGUCCUAUUUUACUAUUCGUUUAUGUAUAAUCAUAAACUAGAAACAUUUAUCAUGAUAUUCUUAUACAUAAACAAAUGUACAUAGUGAAUAUUUGAAAAUAUACAAAAAUGCAUAGUGAAUAUUUGAAAAUGUACAAAGAAAAUGUACAAACACGGCGACGACGGGCGAGGGGCGGCGACGGGCGACGACGGGCUCGGGGUGGCGACGGCGACGACGGGCUCGGGACGACGGCGACGACGAUGGGCUCGGGGGCGAUGACGAAGGCCUUCAUGGAGCUCAGACUCCAAAAUGCCCUACUCUCUACUUCUUCACUUCUCUAUAGUGAAAUGGGUUCAUGUAAGAGUGGCUGAACUACUGAGUUGGAAAGACGGUGAUAUUGUUUAUCUGCAUCUCUACUAUUUGUGCAUCUAUUGUUGGACACAUUUUUGAGCUUUUGGAUCAACAUUUAAUCAUCCUUAUCUUACACAUAUGCACAUGUUAGAGAAGUGCAGUUUGAGGCGUAGCAAUAUACUCCAACCGUAAACUAAUAUAA